AUUAGAGCAGUUCUGCAGCUUUAAAUUGGCCGCCAUUCGACAAACGAACACGUGGCGGUGGCCAUCUUUAAUUCAGCUGAAGUUUUACCUUCUCCAGACUUCAAUCCAUUCGACAGUUCAUUCGACAGUUGGACAAUUCGAAUGGUUGUCGUUCGUCUGUUUGAACUGACUUUAACAUGGGAAAUAGACAGACCGCACAACCU